rnacentral:rRNA from 1 species
UACAUACUGUGCGAACGUUAUUCGGAUUCACUGGGCUUAAAGGGUGCGUAGGCGGCUUGUUAAGUAGGGUGUGAAAGCCCCCAGCUCAACUGGGGAACUGCACUCUAUACUGGCGAGCUGGAGUGAGAUAGGGGUGUGUGGAACUGCCAGUGGAGCGGUGAAAUGUGUUGAUAUUGGUAGGAACGCCGGUGGCGAAAGCGACACACUGGGUCUCAACUGACGCUGAGGCACGAAAGCCAGGGGAGCGAACGGG